rnacentral:rRNA from 1 species
GACCCCAUGUUAGGUGAGGUAACCCG